rnacentral:tRNA from 1 species
GCCCGGGUGGCGGAAUGGCAGACGCUGGGGACUUAAAAUCCCUUGCCCCGAUCGGGGCGUGUGGGUUCGACUCCCACCCCGGGCA